GGAUAACUAUGCAUAUAUCUA
rnacentral:snRNA from 1 species